rnacentral:tRNA from 1 species
GCAGUGUUAGCUCAGCGGGAGAGCAAUUGCCUUACAAGCAAUGGGUCGGGGGUUCGAUCCCCUCACACUGCACCA